rnacentral:misc_RNA from 1 species
AAUCGAUUAAACAGGGUUUCCGGAGGUGAACCUGCGGAAGGAUCCAUUGAAAAGAUUAGGGGCUUCCGCCAAGUUCUCACCCUUUGUAUACCGAAACCAUGUUGCUUUGGCAGGCCCCUGCAUUUCUCGGGCCUGCCAGAGGUUAUAAACCCUAGAAUCUCUGCUGUCUGAGUACUAUACAAUAGUUAAAA